GGCGGGGUAGCUCAGCUGGUUAGAGCGCACGACUCAUAAUCGUGAGGUCGCGGGAUCGUGCCCCGCUCCCGCUA
rnacentral:tRNA from 1 species